rnacentral:rRNA from 1 species
CCUACGGGGGACAGCAGUCGAGAAUCUUUCACAAUGGGGGAAACCCUGAUGGUGCGACGCCGCGUGGGGGAGUGAAGGUCUUCGGAUUGUAAACCCCUGUCAUGUGGGAGCAAAUUAAAAAGAUAGUACCACAAGAGGAAGAGACGGCUAACUCUGUGCCAGCAGCCGCGGUAAUACAGAGGUCUCAAGCGUUGUUCGGAAUCACUGGGCGUAAAGCGUGCGUAGGCUGUUUCGUAAGUCGUGUGUGAAAGGCGCGGGCUCAACCCGCGGACGGCACAUGAUACUGCGAGACUAGAGUAAUGGAGGGGGAACCGGAAUUCUCGGUGUAGCAGUGAAAUGCGUAGAUAUCGAGAGGAACACUCGUGGCGAAGGCGGGUUCCUGGACAUUAACUGACGCUGAGGCACGAAGGCCAGGGGAGCGAAAAGGAUUAGAUACCCCUGUAGUC